CCCUUAUACAACAAGAGCAACUUAUAAUAAUUAUAAAAAAAAAAAAAUUAAAAUGUAUAGUAACUUUCCCUCCAAUUUGAAACAAGGGCAACUUGAGACCUAAGCAGUUCACGCAAUUCACAUAUUUCCCUUCAUUUGCAGCAGUCACGUUCGUACCUCUCCAUACUCACGUCUCCUUCUUCUCUCGUCCACACUCAACCCUCCGGCCACCAUCACCGCGCACCAUCACCAUCACCACCGCCUCCAACGUUCGACUGUUCUUCUUUACCGGCCUCCAACCACCGGCGCGGCGCAGUGCUUCUUCACCAUUCUUCUUCGUUGACCUCCAACUAGGGUUGUUCUUCUUCACCGGCCUAGCUGCGUCACUUCACCGGCGACCGAUUCCCAAAAAUCUCACCACAAGCACAACUUCUCUCUCACCAAUGAUGAUUCACCGGAAAUAUCCAAGCGCCACCAGCACCGCCACUAUCGCCGCCAUCGUCAUCACCACCGCCGUAGCAACUCCAAGCACAAAAAAGAUGAAAUCAAGGAAACGUCGAGGAAGUAGCGGAGGAGGUGACCAAGCCGCCUCAUCUUGUCGAUUAUGAUAUGGAGGAAGGUGAGAUAGUUGACGAUGAAGGUGGUGUUGUUGCCGAAGCUGAAAAGAAGGUUGGUUCGGAUGUCGAAUCAGGUGAAUUUAAGGCCGGAGAUGAUUCUUUCAUGGUCUUAGUUAGCUCUCUGGAGCAGAAAAUUGAUGAAACAGAGAAGAAAUUUUAAGAAACUAGUAAAAUCAGCGAAGAACGGUUGAAACAGGCACUUGAUGCAGAAUCAAGAAUGAUAAAGCUGAAAACAAAUAUGCAAAGGUUUAUUGAGUGCUACAUUCUUAUGUUUCAUUUCAACUAUAGAUUUGUUAAUUUAUUUUGGAUAUACAUACUAUUACUUGGUUUGAAGCUGCUUAUGAAGUGGUGGUCCAUUCCUACAGGCUGGAAGAGAAAAUGUUUGACAUGGAAUCAGAAAAUAAGAUCCUUUGACAACAAUCAUUGUUAGAGCACCUAUAAACUCAAGUUCAGAAUUUAGUCCAAUAUGUGUUAGGAGCACCUUGGAAAAGUAGUAGUAAUUCAUGUUGUCAUUCUAAUCAGAGAUUGUAUAUUUGUUUCAGUAGAAUGUUGAUGCUCUCAUUCAUUGUGUGGCAAAAAAUAUUGGCUUCAAUCAGGGAAAGCCUGUGGCUGCAUUCCCAAUUUACAAGUGUCUCCUCCAUUGGAAAUCAUUUGAAGCGGAGAGGACUAGUGUGUUUGACCGCCUUAUCCAGAUGAUUGGUUCUGCCAUUGAGGUUUUCAAAACUUCAAGGGAGGGGCCCUUUACCAAAAAGGAGUUGGAUGAAGUUCGAGACAAGUGGGCUAUUUACUUCAACGAUUGUGAACCACCCUCAGUGUAAUAAAUAGAGCAGGCUUGUAGUUAUUCGUGACUCUUACAUUAUUUUGU